rnacentral:rRNA from 1 species
CUCAUUAAAUCAGUUAUAGUUUAUUUGAUGGUCUCUUUUGUCUUUUUUUACCUACUUGGAUAACCGUGGUAAUUCUAGAGCUAAUACAUGCGCAAGGUCCCGAGCGCGGGGGGCGGGGGCUUCACAGCUCUGUUCUCGCAUGCGCAGAGGGAUGUAUUUAUUAGGUUAAAAACCAGCGUAGCCAGCAAUGGCUACAAUCUCCUGGUGAUUCAUAGUAACUUUUUCGGAUCGCAUUCAUG